UUUUUAAUUAUUUGAAAGUUUUUGAAAACAAAAUUAUUUUCCAUCGCAUAAUAAAUUGAAAUCGCCAUCUUGGAAAAACGGAGGGAGAAGAAAGGGUUCAUAACGAGUGUUCUGGAAAGGUCAGACAUAAAGGACACCUUUGUUGACGAUAAUGUGGUUAUUCAAGUGCAGCAACAGUAACGAAAAUCGAUUUAACCCUUAGUAGUCACACCUCGGUUUUGUGACGUCGUAGUCACACUGGGUCCAUGGGACCCAGGGGACUUUGAAUUGUUGUAAAUAAUCGAGUAAUGCAUUGAGCGGUAUGAAAAAAUAGUCAAUUAUAGUUUGAACCUUAUUUAAUACACCGAUGUUGGUCCGAAAUCGAAAAUCAAAUUUUGAAUUAGCGAAAAAAAUUGUGAAAAAAAUAACUCGUGAUAAAUGACUUUUUUUACAUAAAUUGCUGUAACGCUUGUAAUUUUUGACCGAAAAAAAAAAAAAAAUAGUUUCGUAAUCUCGAAACAGUGCACUUUGAGGUAGGAAUAAUGGUUUUUGUGGACUUUUCAAAAAGUAUAUUUAUUUUGUCCGACGAAGAUGCGAUUUGGAAAGAAAAAAUCGAACGUUUGCGCACAUAGAAAAAUUGAUUUUUUAUUGUGAAAAAAAAUAUUUACGGCUACAGAAUGAAUAAAAAUGGGGCUUGUACAUUAAUGGUA